AUUGAACGCUGGCGGCAGGCCUAACACAUGCCAGUCGAGCGGAUGAAGGGAGCUUGCUCCUGGAUUCAGCGGCGGACGGGUGAGUAAUGCCUAGGAAUCUGCCUGGUAGUGGGGGAUAACGUCCGGAAACGGGCGCUAAUACCGCAUACGUCCUGAGGGAGAAAGUGGAGGAUCUUCGGACCUCACGCUAUCAGAUGAGCCUAGGUCGGAUUAGCUAGUUGGUGGGGUAAAGGCCUACCAAGGCGACGAUCCGUAACUGGUCUGAGAGGAUGAUCAGUCACACUGGAACUGAGACACGGUCCAGACUCCUACGGGAGGCAGCAGUGGGGAAUAUUGGACAAUGGGCGAAAGCCUGAUCCAGCCAUGCCGCGUGUGUGAAGAAGGUCUUCGGAUUGUAAAGCACUUUAAGUUGGGAGGAAGGGCAGUAAGUUAAUACCUUGCUGUUUUGACGUUACCAACAGAAUAAGCACCGGCUAACUUCGUG
rnacentral:rRNA from 1 species